CUCUACUAAAGGUGUCCCAUCUCGCUCCACUCUACUAUAAUCUAAUUUACAACUUUUUUGUGACUUGAGAAAUCGGGUCUUUCUAGAUGGGUGGGAGUUCAACUUCUAUUUCUUAGUGGCCUUCAACCCUGGAUUGUUGUAUUAAUUGUCAGUAUCAUCAUUUCAAUAUUAACAGAAUUUAUCAACAAUACGGCUCUUGCCUCAACAUUUGUCCCCAUAUUGGCUCAACUGUCCCAAGUCUUACAUAUCCACCCACUGUACAUUCUCAUUUCAACGGUUUUCUCUGCAUCCUUUGCCUUCAUGCUACCAUCAGGAACUGCCGCAAACGCCAUCGCUGUUACAUACGACCACGUAAAGGUCCGGGAUUUUAUUAAAGCUGGUUGGAUGUUAAAGAUUAUCGGCCUUAUCGUCCUUACAUUAUCUAUUAACACUUUUGGAAAUUCCUUCUUCCAGUUGGACAACUUCCCAGAAUGGGCCGUUCCGUCCAAUAACAUUUCUAAACAACAGUAGCAGUAUGUAGAACGGCGAUGAGAACUUACAUGUAUAUUCUGAAUACACUGGUUAGUCUACAUAAUAAAUCCGAAAAUUGUA